UAAUGGUAGAAACCACUAAUAGGAUUUCCAUGUCACCAUUUCUUUUAUUUCACUUCUUUCAGGGGAAAGUUCUCUUCUGAGCUAAUCCUUUUGAGUGCAAUACAUCCCCAGGGUAAACCCACUGGAAUCGUUGCAGUUGAUAGAAUUGCGCUUUGGAUGGAGCUGAGCCACUAUUGAAGUCCUAUGUUUGCAGUUCUUACACCGAUUGCCUUGAGAACGUUUUAUGACUGGUUUCACAUGUACAACGCCCAGGAUUUCAGCCAGCGUCUGGGAGUUAAUGGAUUAAAGGAAUUAAAGAUAGUUUAA
rnacentral:lncRNA from 1 species